rnacentral:rRNA from 1 species
UACAGAGGGGGCAAGCGUUGUUCGGAAUCACCGGGCGUAAAGGGCGCGUAGGCUGUGAGGUAAGUCGGGUGUGAAAUCCCGGGGCUCAACCCCGGAACUGCACUCGAUACUGCUUUACUAGAGGACUGGAGAGGAGAUUGGAAUUCUCGGUGUAGCAGUGAAAUGCGUAGAUAUCGAGAGGAACACCUGUGGCGAAGGCGGCCAACUGGUCCGGUACUGACGCUGAGGUGCGAAAGCGUGGGGAGCAAACAGG